UACAGAGGGGGCAAGCGUUGUUCGGAAUUACUGGGCGUAAAGGGCGCGUAGGCGGCCUUCUAAGUCGAACGUGAAAUCCCUGGGCUCAACCCAGGAACUGCGUCCGAUACUGGGAGGCUUGAAUCCGGGAGAGGGAUGCGGAAUUCCAGGUGUAGCGGUGAAAUGCGUAGAUAUCUGGAGGAACACCGGUGGCGAAGGCGGCAUCCUGGACCAAUUCUGACGCUGAGUGAGCGAAAGCCAGGGGAGCAAACGGG
rnacentral:rRNA from 1 species